AUGGGCAUAGGAUCCAAGAGAUUAAGUGAAAGAUUUGCCUCUUACCAUGCCUGGUUUCCUUCAGUUCAGAACUCAUCUUCUGCAGAACAUCUCUGUGCCAGCCCUCCCAUACCCCACUGCGAGAGUUUCCCCAGGAGACAACCCACAUGGACUGCUUCUGUCUUAAAAGAAAAAAAUCUCUUACUUGUCAGUGGAGUUCAAGUCCAGUGCUUACUUAGAGGAUCUGAGAGAGAGAAGGGAGAAGAAUACGAAAAAAAAUACCCUUGCCCAAGGACACCUGUGUGGUCUCAAUUUAUCACACCACAUAGUGACAGCAGGGAAAGAAAAUAUCUCCCAGACUGUUUUUCACAGGAAACUUAAAAAGCCCUAGGGAAUCCUAAAGAUUGAGGAUCCAAUGAGUUUACUUAAGUUUUUAUCCAGUUCAAUUGAUUUAAAGGAAAUAGAGUGAACUUUAUACCUUAUCUUAUUUCUAAUGAGCUCAUCCAUCCCCACCAAGUUUGGCUCUCUAGAGGUGCAUGCAUAUGCUUGAGAAAAAGAUCCCAAGGUGGACACAGUCAGCUUUAAAGAUGGAAUGUCUAAGACAAAUAAUCCUCAGAACAGAAGAGCUAUUGCAUGUUAUGGCUUUCUGGUCUGCUUCAGGAUCUGAGACUGAUAAAUAGGACCAAGCACAACAAAUGAUUUUGAGAGAGAUGAAAUAUAGUGCCCCUAAAUGACUUUUAAUCAAAAUAAGAUAAGAUGUCUAAAAGGCCCUAUCCAUAGCCAUUACUGUCUGUUGCAUAUGUACCCGUCUUCUGAAAAGUUCUCCCUCCUCCCAAGUCUAUAAUAAUUACCUAAACCAGGGAUUUUUAAUCUAUUUUCUAUUAUAAAUCCCUUUGUUAGGAAAUGCUGGACCUUACACAAUUGUUGUUUACUUUAUGAACUGAUAUCUCCUUGAAAUGUGUUAGCACUUAAAAUGGCCAUAGGGUCAUAGAUUUAGCACCCUUGGAAACUUUUAAGGUUCCUAGGCUCAAUACCCUCAUUUUUUAGACAAGGAAACUGAGGCCCCAGAGAAGGCAGGUGAUUAUAUGCUAUUAUAUGGCAGAGUCAGGUUUCGUUCCCAUUUCUGCUGACUCCAAAAAACAGUUCAUUUUGUACUGUGACAUGGUCUCUUGACAAUAACUUUGGAGUGAUUUUACAUAUAUCAAAUUCGUGAUGCUAAAAUCAAAGGCAAUGUUGAAAUAGUCAGAUUGUUUUUCUGCUGCAAAUUAAUUGGUCAAUUUAUCACCACUCAGUUGUCUGAGAAGAAGCAUGCUACAAGAAAAUUUCUUGUUUUUUCUGCAUAUUCAUCACCUAGCUCAUUUCCUGAUUCAGAAUCUAUUUUCAUUUCAUUAAUGGCCAUGAAAACAGCUGAUGCAGGAGCUGUGCCAUACUUUGAACUUGGUCAGACAUUGAAGAUCCCAAAGUUAUCUACUGUAUCCUGAGCUAUCAGCUCUUAUCUUGAAUUUCUCAUCAUUGGACAUCAAUGACUCUGGAAAUGACAUCUGAUGACUGACUGUGCAAAUCUGUCUCACUUAAAUCCAAUUCAUGUGAAGUCAAGACAUCAUUCUGUGAUAUCACAGGUAUUUCUCAAAAAUAAAGGGUGAACAACAACAACCAAAAAGGUAGUCUUGGAUAGUUCUCUCCCUCUUUGGCCCCAAGUCCUCAUAUUUCUCAUCACAAAAUAAAGAAUUUGAGGCAGCAUAAUGGGAGUGGAAAGAGUAUUAUCAUAGGAAUUCAAGCACUUGAGUUCCAAUCCCGACUUUGUCAUUUAUUCCCUAUGUCUCCUUUGGCAAGUUAAAACCUCUCCAUUCAUCAUCUGUCAAAAAAAAAAAAAAAAAGCUUCUGGAAUAGAUUACUUUGAAGUUCCCUUCCAGCUCUGAUCUAUAGAUUGAAGGGAGCUUGCAAAACCC
rnacentral:lncRNA from 1 species